rnacentral:rRNA from 1 species
AGAGUUUGAUCAUGGCUCAGAUUGAACGCUGGCGGCAGGCCUAACACAUGCAAGUCGAGCGGUAGAGAGAAGCUUGCUUCUCUUGAGAGCGGCGGACGGGUGAGUAAUGCCUAGGAAUCUGCCUGGUAGUGGGGGAUAACGCUCGGAAACGGACGCUAAUACCGCAUACGUCCUACGGGAGAAAGCAGGGGACCUUCGGGCCUUGCGCUAUCAGAUGAGCCUAGGUCGGAUUAGCUAGUUGGUGAGGUAAUGGCUCACCAAGGCGACGAUCCGUAACUGGUCUGAGAGGAUGAUCAGUCACACUGGAACUGAGACACGGUCCAGACUCCUACGGGAGGCAGCAGUGGGGAAUAUUGGACAAUGGGCGAAAGCCUGAUCCAGCCAUGCCGCGUGUGUGAAGAAGGUCUUCGGAUUGUAAAGCACUUUAAGUUGGGAGGAAGGGUUGUAACCUAAUACGUUGCAAUCUUGACGUUACCGACAGAAUAAGCACCGGCUAACUCUGUGCCAGCAGCCGCGGUAAUACAGAGGGUGCAAGCGUUAAUCGGAAUUACUGGGCGUAAAGCGCGCGUAGGUGGUUCGUUAAGUUGGAUGUGAAAGCCCCGGGCUCAACCUGGGAACUGCAUUCAAAACUGACGAGCUAGAGUAUGGUAGAGGGUGGUGGAAUUUCCUGUAGCGGUGAAAUGCGUAGAUAUAGGAAGGAACACCAGUGGCGAAGGCGACCACCUGGACUGAUACUGACACUGAGGUGCGAAAGCGUGGGGAGCAAACAGGAUUAGAUACCCUAGUAGUCC